GAUGAACGCUGGCGGCGUGCCUAAUACAUGCAAGUCGAGCGAAUAGACGAGGAGCUUGCUCCUCUGACGUUAGCGGCGGACGGGUGAGUAACACGUGGAUAACCUACCUAUAAGACUGGGAUAACUUCGGGAAACCGGAGCUAAUACCGGAUAAUAUAUUGAACCGCAUGGUUCAAUAGUGAAAGACGGUUUUGCUGUCACUUAUAGAUGGAUCCGCGCCGCAUUAGCUAGUUGGUAAGGUAACGGCUUACCAAGGCGACGAUGCGUAGCCGACCUGAGAGGGUGAUCGGCCACACUGGAACUGAGACACGGUCCAGACUCCUACGGGAGGCAGCAGUAGGGAAUCUUCCGCAAUGGGCGAAAGCCUGACGGAGCAACGCCGCGUGAGUGAUGAAGGUCUUCGGAUCGUAAAACUCUGUUAUUAGGGAAGAACAAAUGUGUAAGUAACUAUGCACGUCUUGACGGUACCUAAUCAGAAAGCCACGGCUAACUACGUG
rnacentral:rRNA from 1 species